GACGAACGCUGGCGGCGCGCCUAACACAUGCAAGUCGAACGAGCGAGCGAGAGCUUGCUUUCUCGAGCGAGUGGCGAACGGGUGAGUAACGCGUGAGGAACCUGCCUCAAAGAGGGGGACAACAGUUGGAAACGACUGCUAAUACCGCAUAAGCCCACGGCUCGGCAUCGAGCAGGGGGAAAAGGAGCAAUCCGCUUUGAGAUGGCCUCGCGUCCGAUUAGCUAGUUGGUGAGGUAACGGCCCACCAAGGCGACGAUCGGUAGCCGGACUGAGAGGUUGAACGGCCACAUUGGGACUGAGACACGGCCCAGACUCCUACGGGAGGCAGCAGUGGGGAAUAGUGCACAAUGGGGGAAACCCUGAUGCAGCGACGCUGCGUGGAGGAAGAAGGUCUUCGGAUUGUAAACUCCUGUUGUUGGGGAAGAUAAUGACGGUACCCAACAAGGAAGUGACGGCUAACUACGU
rnacentral:rRNA from 1 species